rnacentral:rRNA from 1 species
AGUGAACGCUGGCGGCAGGCUUAACACAUGCAAGUCGAACGGGCACUUCGGUGCUAGUGGCAGACGGGUGAGUAACGCGUGGGAACGUGCCUUUCGGUUCGGAAUAAUCCAGGGAAACUUGGACUAAUACCGGAUACGCCCUUCGGGGGAAAGAUUUAUCGCCGAAAGAUCGGCCCGCGUCUGAUUAGCUAGUUGGUGAGGUAAAGGCUCACCAAGGCGACGAUCAGUAGCUGGUCUGAGAGGAUGAUCAGCCACACUGGGACUGAGACACGGCCCAGACUCCUACGGGAGGCAGCAGUGGGGAAUAUUGGACAAUGGGCGAAGGCCUGAUCCAGCCAUGCCGCGUGAGUGAUGAAGGCCUUAGGGUUGUAAAGCUCUUUUGUCCGGGAAGAUAAUGACCGUACCGGAAGAAUAAGCCCCGGCUAACUUCGUGCCAGCCGCCGCCGUAAUAC